UAGCUUGAAGAGGAGUGGGACAACAUUCCCCAGGCCACAAUCAACAGCCUGAUCAACUCUAUGCGAAGGAGACGUGAGGCAAAUGAGUGAGAUAAAUGCAGAACAUCAUCAGGAGCCAGUUGUGCAGGAGAAGGGGGACCGAUGACUCCUCCCAGAAACCCUCGCAUUGCUCUUCUGGCUGCUACUCUGUCAUAUGUGACCCCACUACAACACGAUCACCAUGCCAGCGAGGUGAACCAUAAGGUCACACAGUGGUGGAAAAAGUACUUAAUUGUCAUAGACACAUCCUGCAGGAUCUGGUUUCCUUCUUACAGAGGAGAAAUAAACAACCCAGAAUCCCCAGUAAAUGAAGGAAGAACAAAAUACUAAACUCAAGCAACUUUCCUACAAGGAACUAUCAUCAAUAUGAAUGUCAUCACUGACACCCACUUUGUUUUCACAAUUACAGAAUUUAUAUUGAGGACACACUGUGUUGUUGAACAUCUCUAUGUGUUUUCUACGAUGAAUGAAAGUCUCUGUUUCA